rnacentral:rRNA from 1 species
AUUUGUGGUCAUACCAGCCUGUUAGUGCCCGAUCUCGGAAGCUAAGCAGGUCUGGGCCUGGUUAGUAGUUGGAUGGGAGACCACUGAGAAUUCCAGGUGCCACAGUGG